CCCCCAGACUCCUACGGGAGGCAGCAGUGGGGAAUAUUGCACAAUGGGGGAAACCCUGAUGCAGCGACGCCGCGUGAGUGAAGAAGUAUUUCGGUAUGUAAAGCUCUAUCAGCAGGGAAGAUAAUGACGGUACCUGAGUAAGAAGCCCCGGCUAACUACGUGCCAGCAGCCGCGGUAAUACGUAGGGGGCAAGCGUUAUCCGGAUUUACUGGGUGUAAAGGGAGCGCAGGCGGCCUGCCAAGUCUGGUGUGAAAACCCGGGGCCCAACCCCGGGCCUGCAUUGGAAACUGGCGGGCUGGAGUGUCGGAGGGGCAGGCGGAAUUCCUAGGGUAGCGGUGAAAUGCGUAGAUAUUAGGAGGAACACCAGUGGCGAAGGCGGCUUACUGGACUGUAACUGACGUUGAGGCUCGAAAGCGUGGGGAGCAAACAGGAUUAGAUACCCGGGUAC
rnacentral:rRNA from 1 species